rnacentral:sRNA from 1 species
UGGAAUGAUGGUGAUAACACUGCCCCCAGGAUCUGCGCAAGGUCCAGAGAGAAACUGCCAGGAAGUCACAGUGGAAGAAGUGGGAGGUGGUUGCUGAACG